AGCUCUGGUCGUUAGGGGGCGGAGAGAUGAGUUGUUAGGGGGGAUGCGGAGGUCAUGUGACGGCGGGGCAGGAAGUGGUUAGUCCGGAGAGGAGACCGGAACCCGGGAGAUUCAAGAUGAGGUGGGUGGAACCAGCAUGGACAUGACAAUGUCGCAGGGGGUGGAGCUUGGCCGGGAUUGGCUGGCUCUGCAGAGGGAGCUUCAGAUCUCUCAGGAUGCCCAGAAGAGACAGGCGGUGCUGGUGGAGAAGCUGCAGGCGAAGGUCCUCCAGUACCGGAAGCGCUACCAGGACCUGCAGCGGAGCCAAGAACUCGGCCAGGUGAGAAGCAAUGGAUAGAAGCGGCUUUCUAAGAAAUGCAUUGUGACCCUCUUAUUCAGCUGCACUGAGUGUACAGGAUCGAGCGCCGUGACGUUGUCCAAGCCCACCGCCCUUACGUGUUUCGUCACGGGCGUGUGACUUCAUCAGGGGGAUUUUACACUUCUUUUUUUUUUAUUAUAUUAUGGUUUUAUGUUUGCUUUAUUCUACGGUUCA